rnacentral:rRNA from 2 species
AGAGUUCGAUCCUGGCUCAGGAUGAACGCUGGCGGCGCGCCUAACACAUGCAAGUCGAACGAUUAAAGCACCUUCGGGUGUGUAUAAAGUGGCGAACGGCUGAGUAACACGUGGGCAACCUGCCCCUCUCAUUGGGAUAGCCACGGGAAACCGUGGAUAAUACCGAAUACUUCGAGUCUCCCGCAUGGAAGACUCGAGAAAGCUCCGGCGGAGAGGGAUGGGCCCGCGGCCUGUUAGCUUGUUGGUGGGGUAACGGCCUACCAAGGCAAUGAUGGGUAGCUGGGUUGAGAGACCGACCAGCCAGAUUGGGACUGAGACACGGCCCAGACUCCUACGGGAGGCAGCAGUGGGGAAUCUUGCACAAUGGGCGAAAGCCUGAUGCAGCGACGCCGCGUGCGGGAUGAAGGCCUUCGGGUUGUAAACCGCUUUCAGCAGGGACGAGGCGAAAGUGACGGUACCUGCAGAAGAAGCCCCGGCUAACUACGUGCCAGCAGCCGCGGUAAUACGUAGGGGGCAAGCGUUAUCCGGAUUCAUUGGGCGUAAAGCGCUCGUAGGCGGUCUGUUAGGUCGGGAGUUAAAUCCGGGGGCUCAACCCCCGUUCGCUCCCGAUACCGGCAGACUUGAGUUUGGUAGGGGAAGGUGGAAUUCCUAGUGUAGCGGUGGAAUGCGCAGAUAUUAGGAAGAACACCAGUGGCGAAGGCGGCCUUCUGGGCCAUAACUGACGCUGAGGAGCGAAAGCUAGGGGAGCAAACAGGAUUAGAUACCCUGGUAGUCCUAGCCGUAAACGAUGGACACUAGGUGUGGGGGAAUAUUUCUUCCGUGCCGCAGCUAACGCAUUAAGUGUCCCGCCUGGGGAGUACGGCCGCAAGGCUAAAACUCAAAGGAAUUGACGGGGGCCC